GACGAACGCUGGCGGCGUGCUUAACACAUGCCAGUCGAACGGAAAGGCCCUGCUUUUGUGGGGUGCUCGAGUGGCGAACGGGUGAGUAACACGUGAGUAACCUGCCCUUGACUUUGGGAUAACUUCAGGAAACUGGGGCUAAUACCUGAUAGGAGCUCCUGCUGCAUGGUGGGGGUUGGAAAGUUUCGGCGGUUGGGGAUGGACUCGCGGCUUAUCAGCUUGUUGGUGGGGUAGUGGCUUACCAAGGCUUUGACGGGUAGCCGGCCUGAGAGGGUGACCGGCCACAUUGGGACUGAGAUACGGCCCAGACUCCUACGGGAGGCAGCAGUGGGGAAUAUUGCACAAUGGGCGGAAGCCUGAUGCAGCAACGCCGCGUGCGGGAUGACGGCCUUCGGGUUGUAAACCGCUUUCGCCUGUGACGAAGCGUGAGUGACGGUAAUGGGUAAAGAAGCACCGGCUAACUACGUG
rnacentral:rRNA from 1 species